CGACGAUGAUGAGCCUGAUCUAGGAGAUCUGAUCGAUGACGAUGAUGGUAGGUUUAGAGCAAUUCUAGUUCACUGAAUGCACCCAGGCCGCAC
ensembl:ncRNA snoRNA:Me28S-C993 snoRNA:Me28S-C993